ACCUUGGGGUGCAGCGUCAUGAUUUUGAUAACUUUUAAUGGCCACGGGGUGUAGAUUGGCCUGAGCAAAUGUGGUGCCGGUGGAAUGAAAGCCUUCGGAGGAGUUAGCGAAAUUCCAAUGUGUGCGGAUCGGCAAAAAAUGCGAAAUAACCCUUUAACCGUAAUUUUGACAGAUACGGCCGCACUGACUUUUUUGUAGAUCUUAUUGAGAUACAUAUGUGUGUCAAUUUUUGUGUCAAUAUGACAAAGCGUACAGGCGUGACAGUCAAUAGUGUGAAUUUCCACCUUAGGGGGCGCUAUGGAGCCAUUUUGCAUUUUAUUGUUUGGGCGACUUCAGAAUAUCGAAUUUUUCACCAGGCCCGGUCGUCCUGCCAAAUUUCAUGAGUUUUCGCCAGUGGGAAGUGGGCCAUUUUCCAGUUCAAAGGGGAGGAAAAAGAAGAAAGAAAGAAACAAAGAAAAACCCCUACAGGAAUAACAGGGCCUACGCCCGGCUGCUCUGCAGCUGGCUCGGGCCCUAACUAGGACCCCGUUGGGGCACUGGCGGGCCCGAGCUGUGUCGCGUCCCCCCCCCAACGCGCUGCCUCCCCGUCCUAUUCGCGUCCUCUGGCCAUCGCCCUCUCUGGUAACGCCCAUCACUGCAAAGACCCUUUUCCUUCAUCGGCGUUUGCUGUUCUUCCUGCCAGUGCAUGUUGCUUUCACUUACACUUGCCACAGCCAGCCUCGUGAGUGCCUAGCCUAUUGGAUAUCACUGUCACCUACACAGGACAUUCAUUACCUUUCUAUUAAUACUUUGUUUUUUAAUUUCACAUUAAUUUCCAUAUUGUAUAAACAACUGGAAAAAACUUGAGCCCCUGCCCCUGUAUAAUCAUGUGCACGUCUCUGUUCUAGCUCUAAGGUGAAUCUUCACUGCUCAUGUUCUCCUCAGAAGCAGUCACCUCACUCCCCUCAGGUUACUGUACACAUGCACCAACUGCCUGCUUCAGGUUUGGAUGGAGCUUCAUGGUUGUCUUUUGGAGAAAUGAGCAGUCAAGUUGUGUUUGAAAUUUGAUUUUUUUCAGGGGCAAAAGGAAGCCUCUGCAUUCUUGUCAAAUAUGUAAAUAGCAUGUUUUUGCAGGUGCUAAAAAACAGACUCUGAGUGUGUGUGUGUGUGUGUGUCUGUGUGUGUGUGUGUGUGUGUAUCCUGCAGUACUCUGAGAAGAAUAAUAAGCAUAUUUCUGAGGUGAAUUUUGAAGAUUCAUCUGAGAGUUAGGUUUGAUUCGAUUCGAUUGACGCUCCCCAGCGUUCAAGUCACAUGACAUAUUUAACCGGAUGUAGCUGCAAGACGGAGCCUCGUUAACUCUCCGUUUCAACUUAUCUCAAAAGUGAGGACCUCAACCUAUAUACCAGUUUUUAAAUUGUGUUGAUAGGCCAAAUGAAACCAGAGUUAUGAUAAAUUAUGUCCGCGAUACUUGUUUUCUGCUUAUUUUGAUCACGUUCGGCGCUCGAUCGUGCUGUAUGAGACAGGAAAACAUAGCAUGCACACAUUAGCGACAGGUCUUACAGGCGGAAAAGGCUUGCCAAAAGAAAAAAAAAAACACACCACAACAUCUCUCCUAUUGGUGGAAAACUUCACCACAACAACCAAUCCAAAAUUAUAUGGUGACUGAUUGACAAGGGGCGGGCGCUUACGUUCUUCCUGCAACAUGAGAAGGGAGGGAGGGACUCUCAGCAGGGAUGCAGUCUGGGACACGUAGUUGCAAACCUAGCGACUUUGUUGUUAGAUUCAAUUACUUUUCAGACCCCCUAACGACUUUUUUUAGAAAGAAAGGGACUUUUAUCGACUUCUUCUGGAGUUUAGAGACUCUGACAUGAAGCAGGCUUUCCUUACUGAGGAGUUAGCAACGCUGCUAAGGGUGCAGAGCCACACAUGCGCUCAGAGCUCUGCAUGGGAGACUGAAGCUGACAGAGCUGCAGCAGUUAGCAGGUUUCACCCUCAGAGACCACCAGGGGUUCAUGUUGAGGCAUUUUCAGUUUUUGUUUUUUUUGCCAUAGACUGUCAGCACAAUCUGCAGUUACACUAACAAAAAUGCUGGACAAAACAAAGAAUUAUGGAAAAAUUACACAUGGACUGACAUAGAGGAGGAUCUACACAAGUUUUUUACAUCAUGUUUUACAUCAUGCAUCAUUUACAUCAUGUUUUUUUGUAGUGGCAUAAAUAAAAAGUGACAUUUGUGAGACUAUACAGUGUUUUGUAAAUAAUUUUACAAAGAACGCCUGGGCCAUUGCCUGCAUUUUGAUGUAAAUAGAGGUAAAUUACUAUGUUCUUUGUUAAAAAUUUGCAUAUGUUUUGAAGUUUACAAUUUUUAUUUGAAGUUUAAGUUUUAAAAACAGUUCAUCACACAUAUUUGUGGUUUAAUUUCACAUUAAUUUCCAUAUUGUAUAAAUGACUGGAAAAAACUUGAGCCCCUGCCCCUGUAUAAUCAUGUGCACGUCCCUGUUCUAGCUCCAAGGUGAAUCUUCACUGCUCAUGUUCUCCUCAGAAAUAGUCACCUCACUCCCCUCAGGUUACUGUACACAUGCACCAACUAUCUGCUUCAGGUUUGGAUGGAGCUUCAUGGUUGUCUUUUGGAGAAAUGAACAGUCAAGUUGUGUUUGAAAUCUGAUUUUUUUCAGGGGCAAAAGGAAGCCUCUGCAUUCUUGUCAAAUAUGUAAACAGCAUGUUUUUGCAGGUGCUAAAAAACAGACUCUGAGUGUGUGUGUGUGUGUGUGUGUGUGUGUGUGUGUGUGUGUGUGUGUGUGUGUGUGUGUAUCCUGCAGUACUCUGUACUCCUGCAGUGGCCAAAAAGACUUUUAAGAAUGUGGAUUUUUGGGUCAUCUUUGGCGCCCCCUAGAACUGCAGUACUCUGUACUCCUGCAGUGGCCAAAAUGACUUUUAAGAAUGUGGAUUUUUGGGUCAUCUUUGGCGCCCCCUAGAACGUAAACCGUGGGGUGCAGCGUCAUGAUUUUUACAACUUUGAAUGGGCAUGGGGUGUAGAUUGCCCUGAGCAAAUUUGGUAUCGGUGGGACGAAAGCCUUAGGAGGAGAUAGCCACAUUCCAAUGUGUGCGAAUCGGCAAAAAAUGCGAAAUAGCCCUUUAACCGUACAUUAUACAGAUACGCGCUUUUUGACUUUUUCGUAGAUCUAAUUGAGAUACACAUGAUUGUCAAUUUUUGUGUCAAUAUGACAAAGCGUUCAGGCGUGACACUCAACAAUGUGUAUUUUCAUGUAAGGGGACAAGAAAAAAUUGACUUUUUUCUCCUGCCAUGGGGGGGCGCUCUUUUGGGGAGUAAAAAUUCCUUCACAAAUGUGUUGAUGGCUGGACAUUGCAUCAUCCUAGAAAACUUGGAGGGCAGUGAGGACAAAAAUAAAAAGUUAUAAGACUUUUAAGAAUGUGGAUUUUGGGUUAUCUUUGGCGCCCCCUAGAAUGUAAACCGUGGGGUGCAGCGUCAUGAUUUGUACAACUUUUAAUGGCCAUGGGGUGUAGAUUGGCCUGCGCAAAUGUGGUGCCGGUCGAACGAAAGCCUUCGGAGGAGUUAGCGAAAUUCCAAUGUGUGCAGAUCUGCAAAAAAUGCAAAAUAACCCAUUAACCGUACAUUUGACAGAUACGCCCGCACUGACUUUUUUGUAGAUCUUAUUGAGAUACAUGUUUGUGUCAAUUUUUGUGUCAAUAUGACAAAGCGUACAGCGGUCAUGUGAAUUUUCACCUUAGGGGGCGCUAUGGAGCCAUUUUGCAUUUUAUUGUUUGGGCGACUUCAGAAUAUCGAAUUUUUCACCAGGCCCGGUCGUCCUGCCAAAUUUCCUGAGUUUUCGCCAGUGGGAAGUGGGCCAUUUUCCAGUUUAAAGCGGAGGAAAAAUAAUAACGAAAGAAGGAAACAUGCAGGAACAAGAGGGCUCUCGCAGCUGCUUAGCAGCUACGCUCGGGCCCUAAAGAAAGAAACAAAGAAAAACCACUUGGGGAAUAAUAGGGCCUACGCCCGGCUGCUCUGCAGCUGGCUCGGGCCCUAACUAGGGCCCCGGUGGGGCACUGUCGGGCCCGAGCCGCGUUGCGCCGCCCCCAGCGCGACCGCC